rnacentral:rRNA from 1 species
GACGAACGCUGGCGGCGUGCUUAACACAUGCAAGUCGAACGGAAAGGCCCUGCUUUUGUGGGGUGCUCGAGUGGCGAACGGGUGAGUAACACGUGAGUAACCUGCCCUUGACUUUGGGAUAACUUCAGGAAACUGGGGCUAAUACCGGAUAGGAGCUCCUGCUGCAUGGUGGGGUUGGAAAGUUUCGGCGGUUGGGGAUGGACUCGCGGCUUAUCAGCUUGUUGGUGGGGUAGUGGCUUACCAAGGCUU